UGGCGGACGGGUGAGUAACGCGUGGAAAACCUGCCGUAUACUGGGGGAUAACACUUAGAAAUAGGUGCUAAUACCGCAUAAGCGCACAGCUUCGCGUGAAGCGGUGUGAAAAACUCUGGUGGUAUACGAUGGUUCCGCGUCUGAUUAGCUAGUUGGUGGGGUAAUGGCCUACCAAGGCAACGAUCAGUAGCCGGCCUGAGAGGGUGAACGGCCACAUUGGGACUGAGACACGGCCCAAACUCCUACGGGAGGCAGCAG
rnacentral:rRNA from 1 species